ensembl:snoRNA F25G6.21 ncRNA
GUGCUACUGAUGUGUCUGCACACUUGGAAGAUCGUAAUCAGGAAAAUGAUCCUGAUUGCUUGAAAAAUACUCCUUGGAGCAGAGGAAUGAUAAUCCGAAGAUCUCA